rnacentral:misc_RNA from 1 species
GAUGAAGAACGCAGCGAAAUGCGACAAGUAAUGUGAAUUGCAGAAUUCAGUGAAUCAUCGAAUCUUUGAACGCACAUUGCGCCCGCUAGUACUCUAGCGGGCAUGCCUGUUCGAGCGUCAUUUCAACCCUCAAGCCCUGCUUGGUGUUGGGGCCCUACGGCUGCCGUAGGCCCUGAAAGGAAGUGGCGGGCUCGCUACAACUCCGAGCGUAGUAAUUCAUUAUCUCGCUUAGGGUGUUGUGCGGUGCUCCAGCCGUUAAAGACCAUCUUUAACUCAAGGUUGACCUCGGAUCAGGUAGGAAUACCCGCUGAACUUAAGCAUAUCAAUAAGCGGAGGA